rnacentral:piRNA from 1 species
UAGAGAUAAUAUUCAACCUGU